GUGAAGCUGGAUUCGCUAGUAAUCGCGCAUCAGCCAUGGCGCGGUGAAUACGUUCCCGGGCCCUUGUACACACCGCCCGUCAAGCCAUGGGAGCCGGGGGCACUUGAAGUACGCCGCCGCGAGGAGCGUCCUAGAGUGAAACUGGUGACUGGGGCUAAGUCGUAACAAGGUAAC
rnacentral:rRNA from 1 species